rfam:Myotis davidii contig112209, whole genome shotgun sequence.
GGUGGUUCUCGGGUGACACGCCCUGGAAUCAGGCUCCCUCCUCUCUGGUUCUGGGUGCAUUACCCGAGAACCACA